rnacentral:rRNA from 1 species
AUUGAACGCUGGCGGCAUGCCUUACACAUGCAAGUCGAACGGCAGCACGGGUGCUUGCCCCUGGUGGCGAGUGGCGAACGGGUGAGUAAUACAUCGGAACAUGUCCUGUAGUGGGGGAUAGCCCGGCGAAAGCCGGAUUAAUACCGCAUACGAUCUACGGAUGAAAGCGGGGGACCUUCGGGCCUCGCGCUAUAGGGUUGGCCGAUGGCGGAUUAGCUAGUUGGUGGGGUAAAGGCCUACCAAGGCGACGAUCAGUAGCUGGUCUGAGAGGACGACCAGCCACACUGGGACUGAGACACGGCCCAGACUCCUGCGGGAGGCAGCAGUGGGGAAUUUUGGACAAUGGGCGAAAGCCUGAUCCAGCAAUGCCGCGUGUGUGAAGAAGGCCUUCGGGUUGUAAAGCACUUUUGUCCGGAAAGAAAUCCUUGGCCCUAAUACGGUCGGGGGAUGACGGUACCGGAAGAAUAAGCACCGGCUAACUACGUG